rnacentral:rRNA from 1 species
UACAGAGGGGUGCGAGCGUUAAUCGGAAUUACUGGGCGUAAAGCGCACGUAGGCGGCUUGGUAUGUCGGGUGUGAAAUCCCCGGGCUCAACCUGGGAACUGCAUCCGAACUGCCUUGACUAGAGUAUGGGAGAGGGAAGUGGAAUUUCCGGUGUGAGCGGUGAAAUGCGUAGAUAAUCGGAAGGAACAUCAGUGGCGAAGGCGACUUCCUGGACCAAUACUGACGCUCAGGUGCGAAAGCGUGGGGAGCAAACAGG